rnacentral:rRNA from 1 species
UGUAUAAGAGACAGCAGCAGCCACGGGAAUACGUAGGUGGCGAGCGUUGUCCGGAAUUACUGGGCGUAAAGGGAGCGCAGGCGGACAUAUAAGUCCAUCUUAAAAGUGCGGGGCUCAACCCCGUGAGGGGAUGGAAACUGUAUGCCUUGAGUGCAGGAGAGGAAAGCGGAAUUCCCAGUGUAGCGGUGAGAUGCGUAGAUAUUGGGAGGAACACCAGUGGCGAAGGCGGCUUUCUGGACUGCAACUGACGCUGAGGCUCGAAAGCCAGGGGAGCGAACGGGAUUAGAUACCCCAGUAGUCCCUGUCUCUUAUACA